rnacentral:rRNA from 1 species
UACGGAGGGUGCAAGCGUUAUCCGGAUUUACUGGGUUUAAAGGGUGCGUAGGCGGGCUUUUAAGUCAGCGGUGAAAGCUUCGGGCUUAACCCGGAAAUUGCCGUUGAUACUAUUAGUCUUGAAUUAAGUUGAGGUGGGCGGAAUAAGUCAUGUAGCGGUGAAAUGCUUAGAUAUGACAUAGAACACCAAUUGCGAAGGCAGCUGGCUACACAAAUAUUGACACUGAGGCACGAAAGCGUGGGGAUCAAACAGG